AAUUUUUGUGCAGUUAAAGUUUAUAUGGUGACUAUAAUAAUGGUAAUAAUGACUGUCUGUCAUUACAGCUUCAGGAUUCUCUCCAGAUGCUUUAGCAGGAGUAUAUGUUGGAUUUAUUGCUUUCUGUAUUGCUGUUGGUGUGGUUUUUAUGCUGGUGAUUGGAGGUGUAACUGCUUGUGUGAUUUACUGCUGCCACAGAAGAAUCACACGAGAAGAACAGAAUGACAUCAGGAUACAGUACACUAAUCGGGAGAUAUAGAAGAAAUGACGUAGGGGAAUGAUGCUUAGUUGAUGACUUCUGCCUAAUCCAACCUCUCCUGUUCGCACUGAGAUAUCACUGUAACAUGUUUUAUUAUUUUGAUUCUUUAAAUGAUGUGCAGAUAAGAAACUAAAGAAGAGGAUAAAUGUCACAUUGCUAACAUGAAGAUAUUUUCAUUACAACACCAGAUUUCAGUAUUUCCUAAAAUGACUGAUAUAAUAGAACUGACUGUUGACACAAAUGCCUUGCCAAGAUGCAAGCGCUCUUCACAGAAUAUGUGCAUGAAUAUGCAAAAGAGUGUUUGAGGCAGCUAUCAAUGAAAUAACACACAGUUACUGAACUGAGAAAUGUUACAGCACACAAAUUUGUAAUGACGAUCAAUUUCACAUUUUUAUUUUUCCCCUAUAAUCUUCAUAUAUUUGUUCUGUAUGUUUUAUUGUGAGGUAUAAAAUUUGAAUACAGUAUUUUUGGACAUUUUUUGUUUUGUCUUUAAAGUGCCUUAACCCACAUAAAACACUAAAAAGGGGAACUUUCAUCUGAUCCAGUAAAUACGAGUCAGUGGGAGUUUGUGCAGCAGUAAUUAUUUUUAAGUUUAACUAAGCUAAUAUUAAGUCAGGAUGUGAGUGUCCUUUGUAUGUCUACAUCUGAAGUGUGAUUUUAACACUAAUGCACUAAACUUUACUCAUAUUUUUGGAAUAUUCUUGAUUAUGACACUAGAUGGCGUACUAGACUACAGCAUAUGUACAGAUUUAUGCAGGUCUUGUUCAUGAAAUACCAGGAGGUUUAUAAUAAGCACAUGCUGUGUUAUGCAAAAAUGUACACAGUUUGUAAACAGCAACAGUUAUUAUAGACCUAGUGAUUGCUAUUACAGUAAAACUAGUAUUCUAUCAGAGGCCACUGUCCUCAAAAAAGGAAAUUGGAACAAUUCUGAAAAACAGUAGAUACCUGUAUGGAAACAACAUUUCAACACAAAAUCAGAUUUUUGAGAUUGAGGUGCUUUCACGCCACACUUCAAAAAAAAAAAAAAAAAAAAAAAAACACUUGUAAAAGUGUUUGAGAACAUGAAUGUCACAUGUUGUCAUUCUGAGGCCUGUUGCACAAAGCGUUUCGGUUUUAACCCAGGUACGUUGGUGUUUAGUUUGUGCUAUGAAACUAUGAAUUUUUGGACUCAAGAAGGUGGGUUGGUUUUCAGUGAGUUUUGUCAUCAUGGUAACUUAAACUAUAUGCUAGAUGAUAUUAAAUGAUCAGUAUUUCAUAAUGAAAGUUAGAUAAAUUCCCUUAAGAUGAGACCAUAUGACAUUUUAGUUGAGUUUCUGUGUGCUAUUUGAACAAUGUAUGUUCAUGUGGUGGGAAAAAAUAAAUAAAUAUAGAUAUCCAGUCAGAGAAUAAAUGUG
rnacentral:lncRNA from 12 species